ACUCCGUACGGGAGGCAGCAGGUAAGGGAAUUCUUCGGCAAUGGGGGGCAACCCUGACCGAGCAACGCCGCGUGAGUGAAGAAGGUUUUCGGAUCGUAAAACUCUGUUGUUAGAGAAGAACGUUAAGUAGAGUGGAAAAUUACUUAAGUGACGGUAUCUAACCAGAAAGGGACGGCUAACUACGUGCCAGCAGCCGCGGUAAUACGUAGGUCCAAGCGUUGUCCGGAUUUAUUGGGGCGUAAAGCGAGCGCAGGUGGUUUCUUAAGUCUGAUGUAAAAGGCAGUGGCUCAACCAUUGUGUGCAUUGGAAACUGGGAGACUUGAGUGCAGGAGAGGAGAGUGGAAUUCCGAUGUGUAGCGGUGAAAUGCGUAGAUAUAUGGAGGAACACCGGAGGCGAAAGCGGCUCUCUGGGCCUGUAAACUGACACUGAGGCUCGAAAGCGUGGGGAGCAAACA
rnacentral:rRNA from 1 species